GGGACACGUGGUAUCCUGUCUGAAUAUGGGGGGACCAUCCUCCAAGGCUAAAUACUCCUGACUGACCGAUAGUGAACCAGUACCGUGAGGGAAAGGCGAAAAGAACCCCGGCGAGGGGAGUGAAAAAGAACCUGAAACCGUGUACGUACAAGCAGUGGGAGCACGCUUAGGCGUGUGACUGCGUACCUUUUGUAUAAUGGGUCAGCGACUUAUAUUCUGUAGCAAGGUUAACCGAAUAGGGGAGCCGAAGGGAAACCGAGUCUUAACUGGGCGUUAAGUUGCAGGGUAUAGACCCGAAACCCGGUGAUCUAGCCAUGGGCAGGUUGAAGGUUGGGUAACACUAACUGGAGGACCGAACCGACUAAUGUUGAAAAAUUAGCGGAUGACUUGUGGCUGGGGGUGAAAGGCCAAUCAAACCGGGAGAUAGCUGGUUCUCCCCGAAAGCUAUUUAGGUAGCGCCUCGUGAAUUCAUCUCCGGGGGUAGAGCACUGUUUCGGCAAGGGGGUCAUCCCGACUUACCAACCCGAUGCAAACUGCGAAUACCGGAGAAUGUUAUCACGGGAGACACACGGCGGGUGCUAACGUCCGUCGUGAAGAGGGAAACAACCCAGACCG
rnacentral:rRNA from 1 species